rnacentral:rRNA from 1 species
UACGUAGGGUGCGGGCGUUGUCCGGAAUUAUUGGGCGUAAAGGGCUCGUAGGCGGUUUGUCGCGUCGGGAGUGAAAACCUUGGGCUUAACUCAGGGCUUGCUUUCGAUACGGGCAGACUAGAGGUAUGCAGGGGAGAACGGAAUUCCUGGUGUAGCGGUGAAAUGCGCAGAUAUCAGGAGGAACACCGGUGGCGAAGGCGGUUCUCUAGUACGGUACUGACGCUGAGACGCGAAAGCGUGGGGAGCGAACAGG